rnacentral:rRNA from 1 species
AGCGAACGCUGGCGGCAGGCCUAACACAUGCAAGUCGAACGAACUCUUCGGAGUUAGUGGCGGACGGGUGAGUAACACGUGGGAACGUGCCUUUAGGUUCGGAAUAACUCAGGGAAACUUGUGCUAAUACCGAAUGUGCCCUUCGGGGGAAAGAUUUAUCGCCUUUAGAGCGGCCCGCGUCUGAUUAGCUAGUUGGUGAGGUAAAGGCUCACCAAGGCGACGAUCAGUAGCUGGUCUGAGAGGAUGAUCAGCCACAUUGGGACUGAGACACGGCCCAAACUCCUACGGGAGGCAGCAGUGGGGAAUCUUGCGCAAUGGGCGAAAGCCUGACGCAGCCAUGCCGCGUGAAUGAUGAAGGUCUUAGGAUUGUAAAUUUCUUUCACCGGGGACGAUAUUGACGGUACCCGGAGAAGAAGCCCCGGCUAACUUCGUG